GACGAACGCUGACGGCGUGGAUUAGGCAUGCAAGUUGAACGAGAAACUCCGACUUCGGUCGGAGGAGUAAAGUGGCGAAUGGGUGAGUAACGCGUAGGUAUCUACCUAAUAGACUGGGAUAGCCCUGAGAAAUUGGGGGUAAUACCGGAGUGUUCCCGAUUUAUCGGGAAUAAAGGUGGCCUCUAUUUAUAAGCUACCGCUAUAAGAUGAGCCUGCGUCAUAUUAGCUUGUUGGUGGGGUAAUGGCUCACCAAGGCGAUGAUGUGUAGCCGACCUUAACGGGUGACCGGCCACACUGGGAUUGAGAUACGGCCCAGACUCCUACGGGAGGCAGCAGUCGAGAAUAGUCUACAAUGGGGGAAACCCUGAUAGUGCGACGCCGUGUAUAUGAAGAAGUCCUUCGGGAUGUAAAAUAUUUUUCUAUGAGAAAAAAGCUCAGUAGGUGAAUAGCUUACUAAGUAUGAUGUUAUCAUAGGAAUAAGCUCCGGCUAACUCCGUGCCAGCAGCCGCGGUAAUACGGAGGGAGCGAGCGUUGUCCGGAAUUACUAGGCGUAAAGGGCUAGUAGGUGGCUAAUUAAGUUAUAUGUUAAAUCCUACGGCUUAACCGUAGUCCAGCAUAUAAUACUGGUUAGAUAGAGCACUGUAGAGGAAGGCGGAAUUCCUGGAGUAGCGGUGGAAUGCGCAGAUAUCAGGAAGAACACCAAAAGCGAAGGCAGCCUUCUGGGCAGUAACUGACGCUGAAUAGCGAAGGUGUGGGUAGCAAACAGGCUUAGAUACCCUGGUAGUCCACACAGUAAACGAUGAUCACUAGGUGUUGGUGCCGAUAAAACGGCUUCAGUACCGUAGCUAACGCAUUAAGUGAUCCGCCUGGGGAGACGACCGCAAGGUU
rnacentral:rRNA from 1 species